rnacentral:rRNA from 1 species
UAAGAAAAGGUGGCCUCUGAAGAUGCUACCGAUUAUGGAUGGACCCGCGUCUGAUUAGCUAGUUGGUGGGGUAAAGGCCUACCAAGGCGACGAUCAGUAGCCGGCCUGAGAGGGUGAACGGCCACACUGGGACUGAGACACGGCCCAGACUCCUACGGGAGGCAGCAGUGGGGAGUAUUGCGCAAUGGACGAAAGUCUGACGGAGCAACGCCGCGUGUAUGAUGAAGGUCUUCGGAUUGUAAAGUACUGUCUUUGGGGAAGAACGGUGGGUUUGAGAAUAUUGAGUCCACAUGACGGUACCCAAGGAGGAAGCCCCGGCUAACUACGUGCCAGCAGCCGCGGUAAUACGUAGGGGGCAAGCGUUGUCCGGAAUUAUUGGGCGUAAAGGGCGCGUAGGCGGAUGCUUAAGUCCGGUGUGAAAGAUCAGGGCUCAACCCUGAGAGUGCAUCGGAAACUGGGUAUCUUGAGGACAGGAGAGGAAAGUGGAAUUCCACGUGUAGCGGUGAAAUGCGUAGAUAUGUGGAGGAACACCAGUGGCGAAGGCGACUUUCUGGACUGUAACUGGCGCUGAGGCGCGAAAGCGUGGGGAGCAAACAGGAUUAGAUACCCUGGUAGUCCACGCCGUAAACGAUGAGUGCUAGGUGUAGAGGGUAUCGACCCCUUCUGUGCCGCAGUUAACACAAUAAGCACUCCGCCUGGGGAGUACGGCCUGCAAGGUUGAAACUCAAAGGAAUUGACGGAAUCGAAUU